rnacentral:lncRNA from 1 species
AACUACCUACCCACACCUAUCUCUCAUUGAUCCUUAUUCUUCUUAUUUUCAUUCUACGUUUUUCAAACUUACUAAAUGUCUCAUUUUUCUCCCAAUCAUUUUGAAGGCAUGCCUUAUUUUAUUCCCGAUGAUAUUGAAGGUAUGACUGAACUCCUUAUAUUAUUAAUUAAGUUACUUUUAUUACUCAACCAUUAUUACUUGCAUAUAUAAUAUAAAUGAUAGUAAUUGUAACUAAUUUCAUAAUAAUGUGUUUAAUAAAAACAACUAAUCUUUAUAAAAGGACCUAGAAUGACAUUUAUAUUGAAAUAAAUCGAUGCAAUACUUUCGAUAAUUAAUUGGCAUCUUAAUUAAUUAUAAUAAUUUGUUUUAUAUGUAUAGUUGAGCAUUUCAAGUGGUUUGUAAUGAGAGACUAUUGGGAUGAUGUUGUUACAUAUUACAAAGGAAACAAAUUUUAUCACAAGGUAAAAGUGAAGGGAAGAGGAACUGCAAUACAUGUAGCAGUAAGCAAUGGUGAGAAAGUGGCUGUGAAAAAGCUUGUAAGUGUAAUAGUGGAUAUGUGGAAUAAU